rnacentral:rRNA from 1 species
UACGUAGGGGGCUAGCGUUGUCCGGAAUCAUUGGGCGUAAAGAGCGUGUAGGCGGCCCGGUAAGUCCGCUGUAAAAGUCAAAGGCUCAACCUUUGAAUGUCAGUGGAUACUGCCGGGCUAGAGUCCGGGAAGAGGCGAGUGGAACUCCUGGUGUAGCGGUGGAAUGCGCAGAUAUCAGGAGGAACACCGGUGGCGAAGGCGGGACUCUGGGCCGAUACUGACGCUGAGGAGCGAAAGCGUGGGGAGCGAACAGG